UGCUACGGGCUUAACACAUGCAAGUCGAGGGGCAGCAUGGUCUUAGCUUGCUAAGACUGAUGGCGACCGGCGCACGGGUGAGUAACACGUAUCCAACCUGCCGUCUACUCUUGGACAGCCUUCUGAAAGGAAGAUUAAUACAAGAUGGCAUCAUGAGUCCGCAUGUUCACAUGAUUAAAGGUAUUCCGGUAGACGAUGGGGAUGCGUUCCAUUAGAUAGUAGGCGGGGUAACGGCCCACCUAGUCUUCGAUGGAUAGGGGUUCUGAGAGGAAGGUCCCCCACAUUGGAACUGAGACACGGUCCAAACUCCUACGGGAGGCAGCAGUGAGGAAUAUUGGUCAAUGGGCGAGAGCCUGAACCAGCCAAGUAGCGUGAAGGAUGACUGCCCUAUGGGUUGUAAACUUCUUUUAUAAAGGAAUAAAGUCGGGUAUGCAUACCCGUUUGCAUGUACUUUAUGAAUAAGGAUCGGCUAACUCCGUGCCAGCAGCCGCGGUAAUACGGAGGAUCCGAGCGUUAUCCGGAUUUAUUGGGUUUAAAGGGAGCGUAGAUGGAUGUUUAAGUCAGUUGUGAAAGUUUGCGGCUCAACCGUAAAAUUGCAGUUGAUACUGGAUAUCUUGAGUGCAGUUGAGGCAGGCGGAAUUCGUGGUGUAGCGGUGAAAUGCUUAGAUAUCACGAAGAACUCCGAUUGCGAAGGCAGCCUGCUAAGCUGCAACUGACAUUGAGGCUCGAAAGUGUGGGUAUCAAACAGGAUUAGAUACCCUGGUAGUCCACACGGUAAACGAUGAAUACUCGCUGUUUGCGAUAUACAGCAAGCGGCCAAGCGAAAGCGUUAAGUAUUCCACCUGGGGAGUACGCCGGCAACGGUGAAACUCAAAGGAAUUGACGGGGGCCCGCACAAGCGGAGGAACAUGUGGUUUAAUUCGAUGAUACGCGAGGAACCUUACCCGGGCUUAAAUUGCAGAUGAAUUACGGUGAAAGCCGUAAGCCGCAAGGCAUCUGUGAAGGUGCUGCAUGGUUGUCGUCAGCUCGUGCCGUGAGGUGUCGGCUUAAGUGCCAUAACGAGCGCAACCCUUGUUGUCAGUUACUAACAGGUUCCGCUGAGGACUCUGACAAGACUGCCAUCGUAAGAUGUGAGGAAGGUGGGGAUGACGUCAAAUCAGCACGGCCCUUACGUCCGGGGCUACACACGUGUUACAAUGGGGGGUACAGAGGGCCGCUACCACGCGAGUGGAUGCCAAUCCCCAAAACCUCUCUCAGUUCGGACUGGAGUCUGCAACCCGACUCCACGAAGCUGGAUUCGCUAGUAAUCGCGCAUCAGCCACGGCGCGGUGAAUACGUUCCCGGGCCUUGUACACACCGCCCGUCAAGCCAUGGGAGCCGGGGGUACCUGAAGUGCGUAACCGCGAGGAGCGCCCUAGGGUAAAACUGGUGACUGGGGCU
rnacentral:rRNA from 1 species